rnacentral:sRNA from 1 species
GGAUUACUCCUUUACGCUUUCGCGUUUGGUUGAUAAAGAUUCGCACCUCUAUCAAACCGGGUAAUCCCACCUCUUGGCAAGACCUGCUGUCAGAUCAAAUCUGAACUACUACAUAUUAGGGUAGUCUGAUGUGCAGUCGAGUCGGUAUUCAUGGACAGUAUUCCGCUUUUCCAGAGAAGGAAAAGUCU